AACAGGAUUAGAUACCCUGGUAAUCCACGCCGUAAACGAUGUCGACUAGCCGUUGGGCUCCUUGAGAGCUUUGUGGCGCAGUUAACGCGAUAAGUCGACCGCCUGGGGAGUACGGCCGCAAGGUUAAAACUCAAAUGAAUUGACGGGGGCCUGCACAAGCGGUGGAGCAUGUGGUUUAAUUCGAUUCAACGCGAAGAACCUUACCUACCCUUGACAUCGUGCGGACUUGGUAGAGAUGCCUUGGUGCCUUCGGGAACGCACAGACAGGUGCUGCAUGGCUGUCGUCAGCUCGUGUUGUGAAAUGUUGGGUUAAGUCCCGUAACGAGCGCAACCCUUGUCCUUAUUUGCCAGCGAGUCAUGUCGGGAACUCUAAGGAGACUGCCGGUGACAAACCGGAGGAAGGUGGGGACGACGUCAAGUCAUCAUGGCCCUUACGGGUAGGGCUACACACGUGCUACAAUGGCCGGUACAAAGGGUUGCGAAGCCGCGAGGUGGAGCUAAUCCCGAAAAGCUGGUCUCAGUCCGGAUCGGAGUCUGCAACUCGACUCCGUGAAGUCGGAAUCGCUAGUAAUCGUGAAUCAGAAUGUCACGGUGAAUACGUUCCCGGGCCUUGUACACACCGCCCGUCACACCAUGGGAGUGGACUGCACCAGAAGUGGUUAGCCUAACCUCGGAGGGCGAUCACCACGGUGUGGUUCAUGACUGGGGUGAAGUCGUAACAAGGUAACC
rnacentral:rRNA from 1 species